GAGGAAGUGGAUUCUUGUAGAGGGAAUAGGAGAAGACUGGGGGAGGGGAAAGGCCAGAGAACAUACACUGUAUGGUUUCAAUACUUCUAACUGCAUCCUUUUCUGCCCCAGCAUGUGACCUUUGGUGAAAAGCCCACUUGCUUUGAUGUUAACAGUGACUGCCUUCAAGACUGUUAAUUUUAGCAAAUGGAUUGUGUUUGAGAGUAUCGUACAUCCUCAGAAGUCUUUUUGGCUCAUGAGUUGGGGAAGAUGGCUCAAAGUGCUUGACCCAUAAGCAUGAAGAUCUGAUCUGGAUCUCCUGUAAACAGCUGCAGCACAGGCUCGUAACCCAAGCACUGGGGAGGCAGAGACAGGAAGAUCCCUGGGAUCGGCUGGCCACCUGGUGUAGCUUAGUCAGCAAGCUCCAUAUUCAGUGAGAGACCUCGCCUCGAAAGCUAAGGUGAAGGGGGAAGAUGAAAGACAGACAGACAGACAGACACAUGUUCUGUUGUAGAACUGCCACUGCAUUCAAUACUGUCAGCCCAUGGCUUGGAGCCUGGGUCUGGUUAAAUCAAGAUUCAAUAAGCAGCCAGGAAAAUGAACAUUACAUAAACACCUGUAUAUUGUUUCUGGAAGCACAUCUGUCUCACCAGAAGUCUACGCAACUUAGAACAGUUUUCAAUGAUUCCGGAGCCCAGAAAGUUAACUGGCAAGCACGACUGAUGUCAGUGUCAGACAGAAAACAGCCUCAGACUUCCAAGGCCGAAUUGAAUACCAGCGUAACUGAUUUGCCUUUCUGACUCACCCUAGUCUUCUAAUUUCUGAAUUGUAGAACUGUAGGCAAUCAUUUGUCAUAAUUAUCGCUUUCUGUUUAUUUCUUAAAGC
rnacentral:lncRNA from 1 species